UGCCUUCCGGUGGCUCGAUUCUCACUCAGUGGACGUUUUGGGUGCUUUUCCGACGUUCCUAACCAUAUUUCCAGUAAAGUUGCUUUUAAGGUUACACCUAGGAUUUGAUACCUAGGGUUUCUCUGUUGUUUGAAGGCCGAUCUUCUCCGGUCGCGAAGAAGGAGGGUAACUCUGUCCUUAUCUUCGGUAUUAUAUGUGAUUAUNNNAUCUUCUCCGGUCGCGAAGAAGGAGGGUAACUCUGUCCUUAUCUUCGGUAUUACAUGUGAUUGUUUGACUGUGUACUUAUGAGCAUCUGGUGUUGUCUGUGAAUACCUGACUUGACUGUAUUCUGUUUGUUGGUUGUUGUAUGUGAGUACCUGUUUUGGUUAUAUUCUGUUUGUUGAAAAAGUUGUUCAUUUAAGCCGGUUCAUUGACUAUGGCUUCUAACACAAGUACUAGUGCCUCCCAUUCUCUACACUCUUCCAGUCCCCUUUUUGUAUAUUAUUCUGAUGUCCCUGGGGUAUCUCUUGUUCCCACUCCCUUCUCGGGUAGUGGUUAUGGGGGCUG
rnacentral:lncRNA from 1 species